rnacentral:rRNA from 1 species
AGUUUGAUCAGUGGCUACGAGGACGAACGCUGGCGGUGUGCUUCACACAUGCAAGUCGAACGAGGUAGCAAUACCUAGUGGCGGACGGGUGAGUAACGCGUGGGAAUCUGCCUUUAGAUGGGGGAUAACGGGUCGAAAGACUCGCUAAUACCGCAUAUGACGAAAGUUGAAAGGAGUAAUCCGUCUAAAGAUGAGCCCGCGUCCGAUUAGCUAGUUGGUAGAGUAAAAGCCUACCAAGGCGACGAUCGGUAGCUGGUCUGAGAGGAUGAUCAGCCACAAUGGGACUGAGACACGGCCCAUACUCCUACGGGAGGCAGCAGUGGGGAAUUUUACGCAAUGGGCGAAAGCCUGACGUAGCGACACCGCGUGAGCGAAGAAGCCCCUUGGGGUGUAAAGCUCUGUCAGCUGGAACGAAAAAAUGACGGUACCAGCAGAGGAAGCAUCGGCUAACUACGUG